CAGUACCGUGAGGGAAAGGUGAAAAGAACCCCGGGAGGGGAGUGAAAUAGUACCUGAAACCGCAUGCCUACAAUCAGUGGGAGGACGAUGUCUUCGGACCGUCUGACCGCGUGCCUAUUGCAUAAUGAGCCGGCGAGUUACCUUGUGUGGCCAGGCUAAGGGCUUCUGGUCCAUAGCCGUAGCGAAAGCGAGUCUGAAUAGGGCGACUAGUCGCACAGGGUAGACCCGAAACCGAGUGAUCUAUCCAUGGCCAGGGUGAAGUUUCCGUAAAAGGAAAUGGAGGCCCCAACCAAUGGCAGUUGAAAAUGCUUUGGAUGAGCUGUGGAUAGGGGUGAAAGGCCAAUCAAACUCGGCAAUAGCUGGUUCUCCUCGAAAUAGUUUUGGGACUAGCCUCGCAUGGUAGCCGACGGGGGUAGAGCACUGAAUGGGCUAGGGGUCCUACCAGACUACCGAACCCAAUCAAACUCCGAAUACCGUUGGUGGAACUGCGGGAGUCAGACUGUGGGGGAUAAGCUCCAUGGUCAAAAGGGAAAGAGCCCAGAUCGCCAGCUAAGGUCCCUAAACUGAGCUAAGUGGGAAAGGAUGUGUAACUGCCCAGACAACCAGGAUGUUGGCUUAGAAGCAGCCAUUCAUUUAAAGAGUGCGUAACAGCUCACUGGUCAAGUGAUUAUGCGCCGAAGAUGUACCGGGGCUAAGCUCAGUACCGAAGCUGCGAAUCGCGCCUUCGGGCGUGAUGGUAGAGGAGCAUUCCAUUCAGGAUUGAAGCACGAUCGAAAGAACGUGUGGACCGUAUGGAAGAGAUCAUGCCGGCAUCAGUAACGAAAAAGCAGGUGAGAAACCUGCUCGCCGAAAAUCCAAGGGUUCCCGGGGAAGGAUAAUCCGCCCGGGGUUAGUCGGAGCCUAAGCCGAGGCCGAAAGGCGUAGGCGAUGGGAAACAGGCACAAAGAUUCCUGUACCACCGCGCCAUCGUUUGAGCGAUGGGGUGACGCAGGAGGAUAGGGCGGCCGUCUGUUGGCUUAGACGGUCUAAGCGUGUGGGAGGUAGCCCAGGCAAAUCCGGGCUGCAAUACUCCGAGGCGUUAAGGGACGUGGAUGGGAAACUUGAAGCGGAUCGCUCGAUUCCAUACUGCCAAGAAAAACCUCUAGCGAGGUGGCCGGUGUCCGUACCGUAAACCGACACAGGUGGAUGAGAAGAGGAUUCUAAGGCGCUCGGGAGACCACUCCUUAAGGAACUCGACCAAUUGGCCCCGUAACUUCGGAAGAAGGGGUGCUCUGGCCGGUGAAGGACUUGCUCCGUAAGCUGGCUGGAGUCGCAGCGAAGAGGUUCAGGCGACUGUUUACUAAAAACACAGGUCUCUGCAAAGUCGCAAGACGACGUAUAGGGACUGACGCCUGCCCAAUGCCGGAAGGUUAACGGGAGGAGUCAACGCUUCGGCGUGAAGCUCUGAACCGAAGCCCCGGUUAAUGGCGGCCGUAACUAUAACGGUCCUAAGGUAGCGAAAUUCCUUGUCGGGUAAGUUCCGACCUGCACGAAUGGCGUAACGAUCUGAACAUUGUCUCAAGGAGUGACCCGGUGAAGUUGUAUUACCAGUGAAGAUGCUGGUUACCCGCAGAAGGACGGAAAGACCCCGUGCACCUUUACUACAGCUUGAUAUUGACUUUCGUUUUAGCUUGUAUAGGAUAGGUGGGAGGCGUCGAGACCGGGGCGUCAGCUUCGGUGGAGCCACCCUUGGAAUACCACCCUUGUUAAAAUGGAAGCCUAACCCUGAACCCGUGAAGCCGGGCAGGGGACAGUGUCUGGUGGGUAGUUUGACUGGGGCGGUCGCCUCACAAAGAGUAACUGAGGCGCCCAAAGGUUCCCUCAGCAUGUUUGGAAAUCAUGCGCAGAGCGUAAAGGUAGAAGGGAGCUUGACUGCGAGACCAACAAGUCGAGCAGGUACGAAAGUAGGGCUUAGUGAUCCAGCGGUUCCGUAUGGAAGGGCCGUUGCUCAACGGAUAAAAGGUACCCCGGGGAUAACAGGCUUAUCUCCCCCAAGAGUUCACAUCGACGGGGAGGU
rnacentral:rRNA from 1 species